GAAGCUUGAGGGAAGGGCCUGGAGACUGAUAAUAAUCCAUUGUCGGUCUCCGGCUUCAAAGACAAAAGGCAGCCGCGGAGGGAGGAGUCAGCAGAGCCUGGAGAUAACAGGACCACUUUGCAACCGGGGAGAGUGCAAACGAGGACUCCAAGUCGCGUCCCGGGUCUGCCGCGACGGUCGCUCACCGCAGGGGUCUCCUUCCUCUUCUGGCAGCGAGUGCGACCUCUUUUAUCCUAGCAGGCCACCACCUUCGCGGCAACAAACAUCAUUUCCUAUGCAGUUGCAAAGCAUGCUCCCUUGCAAUCAGCGAUCAAUACUGGCAAAGUGGCUCCAGGAUAGGAAAGGUCGCACGUGUGUUGGUAAAUGGAAAGGUUUAUGAGGCGCAGGUGGUCGUGCUCCGCGGAGAUUGUGGUAUUAGCAUGUCAAAGACAAAACGGAACCAAGGUAUACAGGCACAGAGUCUCUUCCUGGGGCUCCGGGAAAGCUUGGCACGACCCUCUUGAGCCUUCAGUUUAAAAUGAAACGCUGGCGCCAGAUGUGGCCACCACAUUGCUGAUAAGUCCAGUACCUUCCGUUUGUGCAAAGCUUUGUGAUUUAAGGUUAAGUAGUUUUGCUUACUUCUCUCAUUUGAGCCUUAUAAAGACAGUGUGAAGUCUGUAGUGAGUAAAAGCCCUAUUUUAACAGAAAAGGAACCAAGGGACCAAGUUGGAACUUGAAUCUGGGGUCUACUGAUGUUCCAUUCACUACACUGCUUGGUAUAACUGCAUAUCAGGUUAUUUGGAUUUUAUUUUAUUUUUUUCUUUUUCAGCCUUUAUUCAGUAACUACUACCAGAUUAGGUAAUAGGCACAUAGAGACAUGAGACAUACAUUCCCUACCUUGCUAUGCUGUUCAACAUAGUAGCACGUGGUAAUUUAAAUUUAAUGAAAAGUCAAUAAAAUUUAAAAUUAACUUUCUCAGUACAACUAGCCAUAUUUAAAGUGCUCAGAAGCCAUAUGUGCCUAGUGGCUGCUGUAUUGGGCAGGGCAGAAAGUUCUACCGGGCAGCACUGUGUCUACAGGCUAACAAUCUAAUGAAGAUUAAAGACAGUCUCACUUCUUUUCUGUCCUAUUUGCUACUUCCUUGCAGUUCAUUCGUUCCUUGGUACAUGUGUGCCUCUUGCUUUCUAAAAGACACCCUGAGCAGUUUCCAGCUUUAUUGAGGUCAAAUGUGCAUGCAAUGGAUGCAUCCAUUCUCAUGCACAAGUCAAUGAGUUUUGACUCUUGAACAAUUGUGUGAACACCACCAUAAUCAAGACACAGGACAUUUAUAUUUUAGCAAAAUAUUCCCUGUGUCCUUUCCCACUCAUUCUGUUACCGGAAAGGGGUCCCGAUCCAGACCCCAAGAGAGGGUUCUUGGAUCUCGCACAAGGAAGAAUUCAGGGCAGGUCUGUAAAGUGAAAGCAAGUUUAUUAAGAAAGUAAAAGAAUAAAAGAAUGGCUACUCCAUGGCUCUAGACAGAGCAGCCCCGAGGGCUGCUGAUUGCCCAUUUUUAUCGUUAUUUCUUGAUUAUAUGCUAAACAAGGGGUGGAUUAUUCAGGCCUCCCCUUUAUAGACCAUAUAGGGUAACUUCUGACGUUGCCGUGGCAUUUGUAAACUUAUGGCACAGGUAGGAGUGUAGCAGUGUGGACUCCCAGAGGUCACUCUCCUAGUCAUCUCGGUUUUGGUGGGUUUUGGCCAGUUUCUUUACUGCAACCUGUUUUAUUAGCAAGCUCUUUAUGACCUGUAUCUUGUGCCGAUAUCCUGUCUUAUUCUGUGACCUAGAAUGCUUUAACCAUCUGGGAAUGCAGCCCAGCAGGUCUCAUCCUCAUUUUUACCCAGCCUUUAUUCAAGAUGGAGUUGCUCUGGUUCAAAUACCUCUGACAAUUCCUCCCCCCAACCGUUGUUCAGGCAAGACUGCCCUAUUUUCUGUCAUUAUAUAUUAAAUUUUAGUUUCUAGAAUUUUAAAUAAAUGGAAUUAUGUAAUAUUUAUUCUUUUAUCUGGCUUCUUUCCCUCAGCAUAAUGUUUUUGAGAUUCAUCCAUGUUGUUGCAUGUAUCAGGAGUACCUUUUUAUUGCUGAGUAAUAUUCUUU
rnacentral:lncRNA from 1 species